rnacentral:lncRNA from 1 species
UAUGGUGUUAUUAUUAUCAGCUCAUGUUGUUCUUUACCUGACUAGCAGCUAAAUGAUGUUAUUAUUAUCAGCUCAUGUUGUAUUCUACAUGAAUAGCCGCUAUAUGAUGUUAUUAUUAUCAGCCCAUGUUGUAUUCUACAUGAAUAGCAGCUAUAUGAUGUUAUUAUUAUCAGC